GUUGCUUUCGCCUAAUUGGUCAAGGCACCCGGCUCAUAACCGGGCCCAUGUGGGUUCGAGUCCCUCAAGCAGCACCA
rnacentral:tRNA from 1 species